rnacentral:lncRNA from 1 species
CAAUGAUCAACUAUUCUCCGAAUCCCUUCCAAACUUCUUCCGGCCGCGGACGACCCUACUCCGAACUUCUUUCGGACUUUGUCGAUAUCCGAGUUUCUCCGACAAUGAGAUUUCUACAGUAACCAGACUCCAUCCAAGUUUCUACGACAGUCGACCACCUUCCAGUUUCCAACUGAGCUCCUGCGAGAGCCGAACUUCUACUGCAAACGGUCUACUCCAGAUCUCUACUAUAAGCGAAUUCCAUCCGAGCCUCUACUAUAAAUGAAUUCCUUCCGAACUUCUAUUACAGACGGACUUCAGCCGAGCUUCUUCAUAGCCGGAUCCCAAUCGAGCUCCUACAAUGGACGGAUCCCAGACGAGCUUCUACAAUGGGACAGGCCCCACCGGCCAGGUCACCACUCCAAGCUCCCACGACAACCAAUCUUCGAUCGAGCUUCUACAAUAAGCGAUCUCCUUUCAGCCUUCUACAAAAAUCAGACUCCGUCCGAACUUUCAUAACGGAUGGAUAUCGGAUGAGCUUCUACAACGGACGGACUCCAGCAGCUGGAUUUCUACAACGAUCGAUCACCUCCGGUGUCUGCUGAACCUCCCCAGCCAUCAGCCUUCAAUAGUGUCAGCCGGACUUCCACAACGCCAUCCAGACUUCCACAGGAU